rnacentral:lncRNA from 1 species
GAAAUGAAGAAGGAAAAAAACCUUCUUUGCUGCCAGUCUGAGCAAAAAAUCACAAAAAAUCCAUCAGCUAGAAGAACUAAAAAUAGCCCAACACUUUCUAAAGGAGACCAGAAUUAUGCUGAAGAGAUGAAAAAUAAGAGUUUGUCUCAGAAAAUAGAACUGGAAGCACAAGAAGCCGAGCUUCAGCAUUUAAAAACCAACAAUAAAUUGCUCCAGGAUUCAGUCCAGGAGCUACAACUUGAAAAUGGAACCCUUAAGAAUAUGAACAAGGCUUUAGAAGAAGAAAAAGUGCUGAUGAGGUUGCCAACUCCCUACAUGAGAAUGAGCCGGAGUAUGAGACAGACGGAUUCCCAGAGGUGGUGAAAAAAGUCAAAUUUGUAAUGACCGACAAACACACAGAGAGACUGCAGGCCAAAGUGAGAAACAUAAAAUUGUAUGGCUCCUCAUUUCAUUGCCUGAAACUGAGAAGCUGGAUAAGUGAUGAGGUACAUUUAAGUAACACUAAACAUGUAUUUGUUACUGGGAUUAAUUCAUCAAUUAUUGAAAUUGUGCCUUUUCUUUCAUGUGUUGUAGGUUAUUGAUGCAUAUUUGAGCUGUGUGGUCGAGAAAGCAGAUGGAAAGGUAGGGUACUUACUGUGACGGUACAUGAAAGUAUGCAUUAAUUCAGUAAGUAAACAAUCAUGUGAAUAUGUGGCACAACAUAAAAGACCAAAUAUCCUUGAAAUAACAACAUAAACCUGAAAUUGCAACAUUUCUGUGUAUUUACUGCUGCUAAACAUUUGCUGAAAUGUAUUUGGAGGUGCAUAUCGGACAUACAAUAGAGGGCCACAUUAGUUUUGCUGUACAGUUCAGUGGGUCCAUUAAUUGAACACAAGUAUGCGAACAGCUUAGUUGGUUUUUACAUUAAGUAAGACAAAGCACAUUGAUUACAAAUCAUUUUUUUUAUAGAACUCUCUUAUAUAUCCAUAUCUGAUUUGUAACACUAAGGAUCCCUUGCAUGUCUGUCUAUAUUAAAUUCAUUAUGUUCUUAACGUGCCAGAAUUAUUAAUGCAUUAAUAACUUUGUUGACUGUCAACAGGUACAAGCCAUCUCAUCAGUCGUUUCUACUUUCAUUCUCUCAGACAGAGCUCCACAAAUGAAAGUGAAGGUAAAUGCUAACACACUUUCAUACAUAGCAUGAGCAAAGCACAAUUUCAUUCAGUGAGUUAAACACAGUGUGAAACAGCAAAUACAACGGUGUGUUUGAUGUGGAGGAGUAGUCUAAUAGCAAUACAUGUAAUGAAACUGGGAAAUACAGUAUAAUGUACAUUUCAUUGUUUGCUUCACUGGAAACUAUAAUUGCAUUUCUAAUUUUUUUAAAAAAUAAAUACAGAGUGAAUUACUUCA